CUGUUGUCAUAGUCAACAAGGUUGAAACUUCCAGGAAAAAACUUCGAAUUGGGAGGGCGAUCCUCUAGAUGAACUGACUGUACCCCAAACCGACACAGGUGAACAAGUAGAGUAUACUAGGGCGCUUGAGAGAACCAUGUCGAAGGAAUUCGGCAAAAUGACCUCGUAACUUCGGGAGAAGGGGUGCUCUCCUAUCUUUUGAUUAGGAAAGCUGCACAUACCAGGGGUAGCGACCCAUAAUAUAAAUGGUCUAA
rnacentral:ncRNA from 1 species